rnacentral:rRNA from 1 species
UACGAAGGGGGCUAGCGUUGUUCGGAAUCACUGGGCGUAAAGGGCGCGUAGGCGGCUUUAUAAGUCGGGGGGUGAAAGCCUGUGGCUCAACCACAGAAUUGCCUUCGAUACUGUAGAGCUUGAGACCGGAAGAGGUAAGUGGAACUGCGAGUGUAGAGGUGAAAAUUCGUAGAUAUUCGCAAGAACACCAGUGGCGAAGGCGGCUCACUGGCCCGAUACUGACGCUGAGGCACGAAAGCGUGGGGAGCAAACAGG